CGCGUACAGGCGAAGGGACCCCACCCCCACCCCGCUCCUGCCCGGCGGACGCCCCAGCCUCGCCCCCAGCUCCCAGGCCAGGUCUCCGGCCCGCGUGGACCUCGCUCGGGGCAGCGGGACCCAGUGUCCGUUGCUCGCGCCGAAAUCUACCCGCCCGGUCUACUCCGGGAGCUUCUGCUUCUCGGGCGCCUGGAGAAGUGACCCCGCGGGGGCCUCAGGACGUCCACAGCCCCGCCAUGCAGGACGCCCUUCUUCCACGGGGACUACAUUGCGGAGCCCGACCGGCCGCAGAACUCCGGAAUCCGGUCCCUAAAUGCAUGAGCCCUAACUCCGGCGACCCGGGGGGACCCCCAAAGUCGUAUGCUUUGGGGGCAGAGCGCGACUGCAGUGCCAGUCCGGCAGAGGAGAGCAGCGACCAGCGCUCUAAGGAGCCGGGUUUUAGGCAUCAAGUUGUUCCGGAAUCCUAGAAAGAAAUGCAUGGAGACACAGAAUUUGGGUAAAAUAACAAAAGGCUUUAAUUGCAAGCAAGUGGGACCACCAGAAAACUGGUCUGCUCAGUUCCACCCCACCCCCCACCCCCACCCUGCGUUCCUUGUCCAUCACCUUUUAUACUUUUGUCAGUCAUUAUCUCAUCCCUAAUGGUCUUUGUUAAGUAAAUAAAGUUCCAAUUCCUGUUUAAUGGUUAGACACAGGUGGUGUCUGUCACUGAUGACAGUCCUAAACACAUGACAGUUACAGUGCAUAUAUCACAAGUUUGUUCAAGGAUUCCACUUUGUUCUUCAGAGCUAAGAUGUUAUCUAUAGUGGAGCCACAGAUCAAAGGAGCUAUAUAACCUUCACUUUAAACAACAAAAGCAAUGGGCUAAGGCAAGCUUUUAAAGGGAUACACCACCUAUUUUGCUUCUACAACUACUUUAAAUAGUUAAUCUACUAAACUUACUUUAAAACUUCCCUAUCAAAGUGAAGAUCUAUGUCAAGGACCCAUCUAGGUUAAGGAUCACAAUAGCCAGAGAUUUUUAAAUAAGUUUUAAAUAAAGCAUUCCAUUGUUUUUUGAGUUUCUUCAUCCCAAUGACUUGAAAAUAUGAAUAUAAACUAUGAUAAAGCUAAGACAAUGGCUAAUCCUGCCUAUGCUACUUCCACACCAUAGUCCUUGGCUUAUUUUAAGACAUUUGUGUUGCAUUACUGCCCACCACUCUUGCUAGACUGCUCUUAGUACUUUCUCCUCAGCUUCAUCAAUCUCCAGUGAAAUUCAAUCACCACCCCCCUUUCCAAGUUGUCACACAGCAUCAUCCAAGCAGCUACUCCUACUCCUUGAAGCGUUUGUCUCCACAGCCUGCAUUUUUCCACCCUCCACCCUCAGUAGUCACUUCACCUGUAGUGGCAAAGCAGAACAG
rnacentral:lncRNA from 1 species